rnacentral:tRNA from 1 species
GCCACCGUGGCGGAAUCGGUAGACGCACCGGACUUAAAAUCCGUUGCUCCGCGAGGGGUGUGCGGGUUCGAGUCCCGCCGGUGGUA